rnacentral:rRNA from 1 species
CGCGGCCUAUCAGCUUGUUGGUGGGGUGAUGGCCUACCAAGGCGACGACGGGUAGCCGGCCUGAGAGGGUGUCCGGCCACACUGGGACUGAGAUACGGCCCAGACUCCUACGGGAGGCAGCAGUGGGGAAUAUUGCACAAUGGGCGCAAGCCUGAUGCAGCGACGCCGCGUGGGGGAUGACGGCCUUCGGGUUGUAAACCUCUUUCACCAUUGGCGAAGCCGGAAGCUUUUGUUUCUGGUGACGGUAGGUGGAGAAGAAGCACCGGCCAACUACGUGCCAGCAGCCGCGGUAAUACGUAGGGUGCGAGCGUUGUCCGGAAUUACUGGGCGUAAAGAGCUCGUAGGUGGUUUGUCGCGUUGUUCGUGAAAUCUCACGGCUUAACUGUGAGCGUGCGGGCGAUACGGGCAGACUGGAGUACUGCAGGGGAGACUGGAAUUCCUGGUGUAGCGGUGGAAUGCGCAGAUAUCAGGAGGAACACCGGUGGCGAAGGCGGGUCUCUGGGCAGUAACUGACGCUGAGGAGCGAAAGCUGGGGGAGCAAACAGGAUUAGAUACCCUGGUAGUCCCAGCCGUAAACGAUGGGUGCUAGGUGUGGGAGGCUAUCGACGCUUUCCGUGCCGCAGCUAACGCAUUAAGCACCCCGCCUGGGGAGUACGG